rnacentral:rRNA from 1 species
AGAGUUUGAUCAUGGCUCAGGAUGAACGCUGGCGGCGUGCCUAACACAUGCAAGUCGAACGGGAAUCUUCGGAUUCUAGUGGCGGACGGGUGAGUAACGCGUAAGAAUCUAACUUCAGGACGGGGACAACAGUUGGAAACGACUGCUAAUACCCGAUAUGCCGCGAGGUGAAACCUAAUUGGCCUGAAGAAGAGCUUGCGUCUGAUUAGCUAGUUGGUGGGGUAAAGGCCUACCAAGGCGACGAUCAGUAGCUGGUCUGAGAGGAUGAGCAGCCACACUGGGACUGAGACACGGCCCAGACUCCUACGGGAGGCAGCAGUGGGGAAUUUUCCGCAAUGGGCGAAAGCCUGACGGAGCAACGCCGCGUGAGGGAGGAAGGUCUUUGGAUUGUAAACCUCUUUUCUCAAGGAAGAAGUUCUGACGGUACUUGAGGAAUCAGCCUCGGCUAACUCCGUGCCAGCAGCCGCGGUAAUACGGGGGAGGCAAGCGUUAUCCGGAAUUAUUGGGCGUAAAGCGUCCGCAGGUGGUCAGCCAAGUCUGCUGUCAAAUCAGGUUGCUUAACGACCUAAAGGCGGUGGAAACUGGCAGACUAGAGAGCAGUAGGGGUAGCAGGAAUUCCCAGUGUAGCGGUGAAAUGCGUAGAGAUUGGGAAGAACAUCGGUGGCGAAAGCGUGCUACUGGGCUGUAUCUGACACUCAGGGACGAAAGCUAGGGGAGCGAAAGGGAUUAGAUACCCCUGUAGUCCUAGCCGUAAACGAUGGAUACUAGGCGUGGCUUGUAUCGACCCGAGCCGUGCCGAAGCUAACGCGUUAAGUAUCCCGCCUGGGGAGUACGCACGCAAGUGUGAAA